UCCAUGCUCUGGGGUUUUGCCAAGAAUUA
rnacentral:piRNA from 1 species